AGAUAAGGAGACAUUUUGGAGUA
rnacentral:siRNA from 1 species